UCGUCCCCUAGCUUUCGCGCCUCAGCGUCAGUGUCGGCCCAGCAACCCGCCUUCGCCGCAGGUGUUCCCCUCGAUAUCUACGCAUUUCACCGCUACACCGAGAAUUCCAGUUGCCCCUUCCGCACUCUAGCCCGACAGUAUCACUUGACCUAUCCGAGUUAAGCCCGGAGAUUUCACAAGUGACUUGUCGUGGCCGCCUACGCGCCCUUUACGCCCAG
rnacentral:rRNA from 1 species